rnacentral:rRNA from 1 species
CUUCUGCAUCGAAAGGUGACUUUAAUUCAACAUCGAGGUGACAAACCUUAUCUUUGAUAUCAUCUCUUCAAUAAGAUUAUCCUGUUAUCCCUAAAGUAGCUUUUAUUUAAUAAUCGUUAAGUAUUUUUUUUUUACUUUAACGGGUCAUUCAUCCAUUUUAUGACUGUUAAAAUUAUUUUUUAUACAGWAAUUUUUUUAUAUUCUUUUUUUUUAAAAUAUCGGGGCCCAAACUAAACUACCUUAUUCUACAUAUUUUUAUAUAUUAUGAAAUUAUAGAAUUAUAGUUAAGCUUUAUAGGGUCUUCUCGUCUUACAAUUUUAAAUAGUAUCUUAACUAUUAUUCAAAUUUUAUUGGAUUUUUUUUUAAGACAGUGAAAUUCUCGUUUAACCAUUCAUACUAUCCGCUAAUUAGGCGGCUCUUUAUUGUGCUACAUUAUCACAGUCAGGAUACUGCGGCCGUUAAA